GACGAACGCUGGCGGCGUGCUUAACACAUGCAAGUCGAACGAAGUGGCGAACGUGUGAGUAACGCGUAAUCAACCUGCCCUUCAGAGGGGGACAACAGUUGGAAACUACUGCUAAUACCGCAUACUUAAGGAGGGGAUUGCGUUUGCUUGGCUAGUUGGAGGGGUAACGUCCCACCAAGGCGAUGAUCAGGAGGCGGUCUGGGAGGAUGAACGGCCACAUUGGGACUGAGAAACGGCCCAGAGUCCUACGGGAGGCAGCAGUGGGGAAUCUUCCGCAAUGGACGAAAGUCUGACGGAGCAACGCCGCGGGAGUGGUGACGGCCUUCGGGUUGUAAAGAUCUGUUAAUCGGGACGCGGUACCGGAAUAGAAAGCCACGGCUAACUACGUGCCAGCAGCCGCGGUAAUUC
rnacentral:rRNA from 1 species